rnacentral:rRNA from 1 species
GUUAAGCGACUAAGCGUACACGGUGGAUGCCCUGGCAGUCAGAGGCGAUGAAGGACGUGCUAAUCUGCGAUAAGCGUCGGUGAGGUGAUAUGAACCGUUAUAACCGGCGAUUUCCGAAUGGGGAAACCCAGUGUGUUUCGACACACUAUCAUUAACUGAAUCCAUAGGUUAAUGAGGCGAACCGGGGGAACUGAAACAUCUAAGUACCCCGAGGAAAAGAAAUCAACCGAGAUUCCCCCAGUAGCGGCGAGCGAACGGGGAGGAGCCCAGAGCCUGAAUCAGUGUGUGUGUUAGUGGAAGCGUCUGGAAAGGCGCGCGAUACAGGGUGACAGCCCCGUACACAAAAAUGCACAUGCUGUGAGCUCGAUGAGUAGGGCGGGACACGUGGUAUCCUGUCUGAAUAUGGGGGGACCAUCCUCCAAGGCUAAAUACUCCUGACUGACCGAUAGUGAACCAGUACCGUGAGGGAAAGGCGAAAAGAACCCCGGCGAGGGGAGUGAAAAAGAACCUGAAACCGUGUACGUACAAGCAGUGGGAGCCUCUUAAUGGGGUGACUGCGUACCUUUUGUAUAAUGGGUCAGCGACUUAUAUUCUGUAGCAAGGUUAACCGAAUAGGGGAGCCGAAGGGAAACCGAGUCUUAACUGGGCGUUAAGUUGCAGGGUAUAGACCCGAAACCCGGUGAUCUAGCCAUGGGCAGGUUGAAGGUUGGGUAACACUAACUGGAGGACCGAACCGACUAAUGUUGAAAAAUUAGCGGAUGACUUGUGGCUGGGGGUGAAAGGCCAAUCAAACCGGGAGAUAGCUGGUUCUCCCCGAAAGCUAUUUAGGUAGCGCCUCGUGAAUUCAUCUCCGGGGGUAGAGCACUGUUUCGGCAAGGGGGUCAUCCCGACUUACCAACCCGAUGCAAACUGCGAAUACCGGAGAAUGUUAUCACGGGAGACACACGGCGGGUGCUAACGUCCGUCGUGAAGAGGGAAACAACCCAGACCGCCAGCUAAGGUCCCAAAGUCAUGGUUAAGUGGGAAACGAUGUGGGAAGGCCCAGACAGCCAGGAUGUUGGCUUAGAAGCAGCCAUCAUUUAAAGAAAGCGUAAUAGCUCACUGGUCGAGUCGGCCUGCGCGGAAGAUGUAACGGGGCUAAACCAUGCACCGAAGCUGCGGCAGCGACGCUUUGCGUUGUUGGGUAGGGGAGCGUUCUGUAAGCCUGUGAAGGUGGCCUGUGAGGGUUGCUGGAGGUAUCAGAAGUGCGAAUGCUGACAUAAGUAACGAUAAAGCGGGUGAAAAGCCCGCUCGCCGGAAGACCAAGGGUUCCUGUCCAACGUUAAUCGGGGCAGGGUGAGUCGACCCCUAAGGCGAGGCCGAAAGGCGUAGUCGAUGGGAAACAGGUUAAUAUUCCUGUACUUGGUGUUACUGCGAAGGGGGGACGGAGAAGGCUAUGUUGGCCGGGCGACGGUUGUCCCGGUUUAAGCGUGUAGGCUGGUUUUCCAGGCAAAUCCGGAAAACCAAGGCUGAGGCGUGAUGACGAGGCACUACGGUGCUGAAGCGACAAAUGCCCUGCUUCCAGGAAAAGCCUCUAAGCAUCAGGUAACAUCAAAUCGUACCCCAAACCGACACAGGUGGUCAGGUAGAGAAUACCAAGGCGCUUGAGAGAACUCGGGUGAAGGAACUAGGCAAAAUGGUGCCGUAACUUCGGGAGAAGGCACGCUGAUAUGUAGGUGAAGCGACUUGCUCGUGGAGCUGAAAUCAGUCGAAGAUACCAGCUGGCUGCAACUGUUUAUUAAAAACACAGCACUGUGCAAACACGAAAGUGGACGUAUACGGUGUGACGCCUGCCCGGUGCCGGAAGGUUAAUUGAUGGGGUUAGCGGUAACGCGAAGCUCUUGAUCGAAGCCCCGGUAAACGGCGGCCGUAACUAUAACGGUCCUAAGGUAGCGAAAUUCCUUGUCGGGUAAGUUCCGACCUGCACGAAUGGCGUAAUGAUGGCCAGGCUGUCUCCACCCGAGACUCAGUGAAAUUGAACUCGCUGUGAAGAUGCAGUGUACCCGCGGCAAGACGGAAAGACCCCGUGAACCUUUACUAUAGCUUGACACUGAACAUUGAGCCUUGAUGUGUAGGAUAGGUGGGAGGCUUUGAAGUGUGGACGCCAGUCUGCAUGGAGCCGACCUUGAAAUACCACCCUUUAAUGUUUGAUGUUCUAACGUUGGCCCCUAAUCGGGGUUGCGGACAGUGUCUGGUGGGUAGUUUGACUGGGGCGGUCUCCUCCUAAAGAGUAACGGAGGAGCACGAAGGUUGGCUAAUCCUGGUCGGACAUCAGGAGGUUAGUGCAAUGGCAUAAGCCAGCUUGACUGCGAGCGUGACGGCGCGAGCAGGUGCGAAAGCAGGUCAUAGUGAUCCGGUGGUUCUGAAUGGAAGGGCCAUCGCUCAACGGAUAAAAGGUACUCCGGGGAUAACAGGCUGAUACCGCCCAAGAGUUCAUAUCGACGGCGGUGUUUGGCACCUCGAUGUCGGCUCAUCACAUCCUGGGGCUGAAGUAGGUCCCAAGGGUAUGGCUGUUCGCCAUUUAAAGUGGUACGCGAGCUGGGUUUAGAACGUCGUGAGACAGUUCGGUCCCUAUCUGCCGUGGGCGCUGGAGAACUGAGGGGGGCUGCUCCUAGUACGAGAGGACCGGAGUGGACGCAUCACUGGUGUUCGGGUUGUCAUGCCAAUGGCACUGCCCGGUAGCUAAAUGCGGAAGAGAUAAGUGCUGAAAGCAUCUAAGCACGAAACUUGCCCCGAGAUGAGUUCUCCCUGAGACUUAGAGUCUCCUGAAGGAACGUUGAAGACGACGACGUUGAUAGGCCGGGUGUGUAAGCGCAGCGAUGCGUUGAGCUAACCGGUACUAAUGAACCGUGAGGCUUAACCUUACAACGCCGAAG